AAUCUGAGUGUGCGGCUCGUGCGGUUAGGGUUGGGUCCCUCUCAGUCCUGUUCCCAGAGAGCUCAACCCGUGGGAAGUUGGCACUCUCAAGAGCUGCCGGCCUGCUCUCCUCUCCACGCGUCUGGUCAACACCCCAGCCCACUGACCCUGUCCCAAGUACCCCAGGAAAGUAUUUCCAUUUUCUUUUUACACACAGGACCCCUGAAGUCCUGCUCUGUGCCCACCUCCGUGUCAAGGACAGCCUGUCUGCUCCUCGUCCAGUCCCACGUAAGGCUUUAGUGGGCUUUCCUCCUCUCGCCCUCAAAAUGCACUGUCUGCUUGCACUUGGACCCGGAGUCAGGAACAUAAAACAGCCGUUCUUCCAAUAACAGAUCACCAGCUCCACAAAGCCACCUCAGAAACCUGCGUUUUUAACAUGCACCCCAGAUGAUUCCAAUGUGGAGUUCCUCAGCCCAGACUUUGAGAACACCUGCUUCAAUCAUCUAUAUGGCCAGGGAUAGUAGCCUUGCUGUGUUCUUUGCAGUUUAACACAAGGCAAUAUCCUAUCCCAAAUGGUGGAAGUCAAGACACUGUGACUGACAGGUGAGACUGACAUUUGGGAUGUGGACUCUCCACCUCUCAGAUAGUACCUCAUGCAUGUGACCACAGGGGCUCCCAAGGUGCAAAUUCAUUUCCAUCUGCCAGCGUUUGAGCCAAGUGAGCUUUGUUUGCCAACAGCCUCUGCUACAAUCCUUCCCUGGGUUCAGGGGCAGGGAAGCUGUGACCACCAACAGAGGUACAGGUCAUGGAAAGGCAAGGAGCCAAUGUUCAGGAGCCUGGGAAGAAUACAUACAGCAGCUUGAUGGAGGAAGACAGCAAGGCGCCUCUUUCAGAAAUAAUUUAAGAGAAGGAAAGUAGAGGGAGCAACUGAGGGAGAUGGUCAAAGGGUUCUGAGCCCAGGAAACCUGUUCAGAGAGGUCUCUUUCGGGGACACUGGUGGGAGCCCAGGGCAGAGGAGUCAGUGUGGUUAGGAGAUGACAUGAUUUCCAAGUAGCUUGACAGGAGGGGCACCCAGUUCCUUUCCUCAGUGACUGUAUCAGUGACAGCAGAAACUGGUGUGCUGCAUAGUGUCAAUGUCACCAGAUUCAUGCCAGACAAGGAGGCAGGAAUCCCAGGUUUGAGUCCCACUCCAAUUAUAGAUGCCAGGGGUAGGGAGAGGGAAGGUCUCUGUGAACAGGUUGCAGCUCUGCCUUUGGAACCAGUGCUAGGACCUGCAGAAGAGCCGGAUACUACUUGGCAGUGAUGCGUCAUAGAAAGUCCAGACAAGAAAUGAGUGAAACCAGAAGACUUUACAAUGUCUCUCAUGCCUAUGUGUUUGUUUCUUUAUUUUUCUGGUUAAUCCAAAGAAGUUUGAGGAGAUUUGCCUGGUAGGGAGGAAGAUGAGAUAAUAGUAAUAAUUUUAACAUUGAUUGAGUGCUUUAUUGUAUACCUCAGAUUGUUCUAAGCCCCUUAUGUAUUGACUCAUUUCAUCCUUAUAUUCAUAGGAAGUUGGUACUUUUAUGACCCUAGAUUUACAGAUGAGGAAACUGAGGCACAGGGGUUGAGUAACUGGCCCAGGAUUCCUGUUUUAGAGUAGGCCAGGUUAUGCUGCAGUAAUAGACAUCAUCCAAACAUCAGUGACUUAAAAAGAGAGUUUUUUCUCACUCAUAUUAUAUGUCCUUUGUGGGUCGACAGGAGGGUUCUAGCACCCAGGCUGCAGGAGGAGCUAUCAUCUUAUGACUUUGACAUCACCAUCUCAACAUGGCCUUCCACCAUCUCAACAUGGCCUUUCACCAUCACCAAAACUGUGCAAGAGAAAGCCAUGGAGUAAAGGACCUGCAAUUAGAUGCUUAGACCCACAUAUGACCCCUGUCACUUCUGCCCUCAGUUCCUUAACCAGAACUAGUCACAUGGUCACAUGUAACUUCAAAGGAGUGGAAAUGUGUAAGCCUCUGCACACCUGGCAGUGAAAAGACACUCAUAUUGAGGAGCACUGGUAAUGCCUUUCACAAUCCUGCAGUUGGUAAAGAGUCAACCUCAAGCUACUGGGUUCCCAAACCUAUGCUCUGUAUCACCGUGCCUGCUGUCUUCCCAUGCCCCCCAGAAGGAAGGGGUGGACCCUCUACCCUGUGACAUGGCUAGUGAUUGGCAUGGCUUGGGGAGGGUAGAAGAAGUGGGAAUCGGGGCUUCUUCCUGAUGUUUGGCAUCUCUCCCGCGACUCUAGCUAGCUAAUUCCCCAGGUCCCAGGUGCUUUCUAUCCCUGCUUCUGGAAUCAGUCCAAGUCCAGUGUCCUCUUCUAUUCUGUGAUCUCAGAGGGGUUAGAGUACAGAAGCUUCCAGUGAGCCCUACCUCAGCCCAGCCCUGCCACUAGCUUAUGUAAAUAUUUUUCUGUUGAGUUUUGAGUGCUGGGAGAUAAAAUAGUGGAGACAGAAAAGCCAAAGGGAAAUCGGAAGUCCCUGGUCUUCGUGAGCAGAACACUAUCAGGAGUCUGGCUUGAUGUCUGAAGUGCCUACAACAGCCCUACCAAGGUGAUAUCAGGAAACCAAGGAAGGGCUGGUGGAAAUGAGCCUGGGGUGACAUCACCCUGAACUGCAGCAGGAGAGAUCAAAGCUAGAUGCUGAGGUCCUCCCGAUGCUAAAGGUGGUCAUUAUCUCUGUAUGCUUCCACCACUGGACGGUGAGCUCACUGAGGGAGAAAUGUCAAAUUCAUAUCUAUAUCCUCGGCACCCAGCACAGGC
rnacentral:lncRNA from 10 species